GUGUGAAAAGCAAAGAUGUCUUUUUGAAGAAGAACACGUGUCGGGGAAAGAGUGGUCUUAACCUGUAAUAAAUACCCUACUACAGCUGAGGCUGAGGUUGUCCCUGUUUUCAUAGGGCUUCCUUCUUUCUUCUUACAUGAUAAAAACCUAAAAUCUCUCCUUCUCCUCCUUUAUCUCUCUCUCUCUCAACUCUCACGGUCGGGCUCGGAUUCGCUUGGUGCAGGUCGGGAACCAAUUUGGCUGACACAGCCACACACGUGCCCCCUUUUUCUUUAUUGGUUUGUGAGCAGGGAUUGGAUCCCGCCUUGCAUCAACUGAAUCGGAGCCUCCGACCGUGCAACUAAUCCAUACUCACUUAUCCAAUCAGCAGAUCUGGAAAUAUAUAUAUAUAUAUAUAUAUAUAUAUAUAUCUUUCUUAUUUACAUUCUUAAUUUUUUCUUUAAAUCUUUAAAUCUGUUGUUUUUGUUGAUCUGAUUUCACCCUUUUUUUAAUAAUCAUUAAUCUCUGUUUUGUUGGCCCAAAUGUUGAAAUCUUUGUUUUUGUUUUGAAUUUAAAGAUCUAGGGUUUGGAAAUGAUAGUGAUUUUGUUGGUGUAAUUAGUUCUAAGAUUUAUUGAAUCUGUUGUAACAGUUAAUUCUUAUGAUUUGAUUGUUUUGUUUAUUUUUAAUUUUGGAUAGGUUGCGACGAUGAUGAGAUUCAAAGUGACCGAUUUUAACUCGUAAAAAGGAUGACGAUGAUUACGUUAAGUUAGUUGUGCAAAAGAGAUGAAGAGAAGAUUUAUUGGAAACAUGUGAACUGAAGAAGAUUCUUUUGUUUAGUGUUUCAGUUUUUUUUUUCUUUUUUUUUUUUUUCCAUUUUGAGAUAAUGUAAUGUUCUGAAUUUGUUAAAGAGAACAAAUGGUGUGGAUUGUGGAAGUAGUAAAGAAACAGAACCAAUUCGAUUACUACCGUUAGUGCGGAAUAAAUUGUGCAAUUAAUGAUGUUAGUGGAAACUAAACGUAACCAAACAACAUAGUUUUAAAUGUCACUUCUAAAGUUGGUUGGUUGGUUGUUA